UACGUAGGUGACCAGCGUUGUCCGGAUUUACUGGGCGUAAAGAGCGCGCAGGCGGUCGUUCAAGUCGAGUGUGAAAGCCCCCGGCUCAACUGGGGAGGGUCACUUGAUACUGAUCGACUCGAAGGCAGGAGAGGGAAGCGGAAUUCCCGGUGUAGUGGUGAAAUGCGCAGAUAUCAGGAAGAACACCCGUGGCGAAGGCGGCUUUCUGGGACGGUACUGACGCUGAGACGCGAAAGCGUGGGGAGCGAACAGG
rnacentral:rRNA from 1 species